GGCUCAAAAAUCCUAAAACUACUCUAAAAAAUCUUCCCCCUCCUCCCUCUUUCGCUUCUUCCCCUUUCCCCUCUUUCUAAUCUUUCUUACGCACAGAGGCUUCUUAAUUUUGGCAUAUUUUUAUAUUCUUAACUACUCUUUGUUUAUUUCUUCAUGUUCUUUUCGCAGAUACCAAAACAAAACGCAUAGAAUAUAUGGCAACAAAUAAUUACACUGUUCACAACGAGAAAACAAGCUUUCCACAAAGAAGAAGAGGCCAAAUUAAAGCUCAGAUAUUUAGCAGCAUGGUCGAAUUUGUUGCCUCUAUAUUCUCAAAGGAUGAAAAAGACAAGGAUGACAACAAUAAUGAUGGCGGUUCUGCUAUAUCGACCCCACCAUCAACUGCUUACAACUCCGAUGGAUUCUAGUCUCAGUUCUUUCGGGUUACUUUGAAGGUUUAUCCCUGGAAUAUGAGACUUGUUUCUACCACGUCCCCUUCUCAACUCGUGCUCUCUAUCGUGGUGGUUCUCUUACAAUGUUUUCGGUAAGAGGAAUCAUCAUCAACUUAAAAAAGCAUUCGCGUCUGUUCCUUUUUAUUUGCAGACAGAAGCUGCUACUAUAGCCUCUGAUUAAGUAACGUUGUCUACGUCUUCUCGUACAAAUAGAAGAUGCAGUGUGAUGUGAAUUUUAGUGUGCAUAAUAAAAUCCUGAAAAACCAGUUGUUUUUUAUAUGGUUGAUCAGGAUUGUAAUUUACAGGGCUGUUGUUGUAGUUGUUAAUUAAUGUUGUGAUGGUUUGCUAUGUAGUUGGGCUUGUUUGGAAUUGUCCUUAACCUCUCGCUAGUGUUUUUAGAGUCAUGACCGGAGGGAGGGAGUUUGUAAUCUUUGUACUUUUACUUUCAGUUUGGAGUGUAAUUUUCUUUCAAGUACUACAUAUGAGAACUCAAUAUUGCUUCUGUCAUUUUCUAUCUAUAAAUUGGGUUGUUAACUUUUUUGUA